AACAAACGCUGGCGGCGUGCCUAAUACAUGCAAGUCGAACGGGGAAAGCUUUCGGGUGAGUACUAGUGGCGCACGGGUGAGGAACGCGUGGAUAAUCUGCCUUAGAGUGGGGGAUAACUAGUCGAAAGAUUAGCUAAUACCGCAUAGGACCACAGGAGCUGCGGCUCUAGGGGUCAAAGGUUUUUCGCUCUAAGAUGAGUCCGCGUAAGAUUAGCUAGUUGGUGAGGUAACGGCUCACCAAGGCGACGAUCUUUAACUGGUCUGAGAGGAUGAUCAGUCACACUGGAACUGGGACACGGUCCAGACUCCUACGGGAGGCAGCAAUAAGGAAUAUUGCACAAUGGAGGAAACUCUGAUGCAGCGACACCGCGUGAGUGAUGAAGGCCUUCGGGUCGUAAAGCUCUGUCGCAGGGGAAUAACACAAUGAAUGUACCCUGUAAGAAAGGAUCGGCUAACUUCGUGCCAGCCGCCGCCGCAGUAA
rnacentral:rRNA from 1 species